rnacentral:rRNA from 1 species
UAGGGAAUCUUCCGCAAUGGACGCAAGUCUGACGGAGCAACGCCGCGUGAGUGAAGAAGGAUUUCGGUUCGUAAAACUCUGUUGUUAGAGAAGAACAGCGCAUAGAGUAACUGUUAUGCGUGUGACGGUAUCUAACCAGAAAGCCACGGCUAACUACGUGCCAGCAGCCGCGGUAAUACGUAGGUGGCAAGCGUUGUCCGGAUUUAUUGGGCGUAAAGCGAGCGCAGGCGGUCAAUUAAGUCUGAUGUGAAAGCCCCCGGCUCAACCGGGGAGGGUCAUUGGAAACUGGUUGACUUGAGUGCAGAAGAGGAGAGUAGAAUUCCAUGUGUAGCGGUGAAAUGCGUAGAUAUAUGGAGGAACACCAGUGGCGAAGGCGACUCUCUGGUCUGUAACUGACGCUGAGGCUCGAAAGCGUGGGUAGCAAACAGG